rnacentral:rRNA from 1 species
UACGUAGGGUGCAAGCGUUGUCCGGAAUUAUUGGGCGUAAAGAGCUCGUAGGCGGUUUGUCGCGUCUGCUGUGAAAAUCCGAGGCUCAACCUCGGACCUGCAGUGGGUACGGGCAGACUAGAGUGCGGUAGGGGAGAAGGGAAUUCCUGGUGUAGCGGUGGAAUGCGCAGAUAUCAGGAGGAACACCAAUGGCGAAGGCACUUCUCUGGGCCGUAACUGACGCUGAGGAGCGAAAGCGUGGGGAGCGAACAGG